rnacentral:lncRNA from 1 species
GAGCCAGUCCUGGACCUCGACCCUUGGCUGCCCAGCCAGCACUCAGGAGUAUAAUUCCUGCUGAUAAUCUACAACAUUGACUUGUACAUGGGAAGGCAAACAUUUGUUAGAAAUUCUUUCUGCUACCUUUGAUCGGAAUGAAAGAAAAAAAAUCAAGAGAUAUUAAAAUCAACUACAAAGGCAAAGGAACCUGUCUUUUCAGUUGAAGAAAAGAACUGCUGCCUCAUUAUGGUCUUUUUCAAUUAAAA